AAUUUAACAACUACUUUCUAACAGAAUAUUCAAAAUAUCUUGAUGCAUUAGCAAACGAAGAUGUAGAAUGUUCAUUUAAAAAAUAGACGCCAAACUGAGCUGAUGGUCCAUACGAAACAUUUUAUGAAGUUCAACAAUGAGAUGAAAAAAAUUAAAUUUCAGUAGCUAAAGUGACACUUAGUGCAAAGUUAAAUGACCAUGAGUAAAAUUUUCGACCAACAAUUACUGAACAAUCCACCAUUUUUUUGUUGCAUUUUGCAAACCAAGCUCCCCAAUUAUGUCUUCCAUAUUCACAAGGUUUGGUUUUGGCCACAGCCAUGGCUCUCUCUGCGUCUACCAUAAUUCUCUUUGAUCAUUUCCGGGAAAAGUAUUAAGAUUCAACUACCGAUAAACGAGUUCUUCAGUCUUGUUUAUCUUCAGGUAGCAAGAAAAAGGAGAAGACGAAGAAGAGGGUUCAAUUUGCAGAUGAUGUAAAAGAUUCAAGUGGGAAUAGUGAAUUGCACAGAGAAGAAGAUGAAAUUCCUGUAAAUCACGCGACUUUGUACAGUGGGAUUCUCAAGGAUCGUGUGCAAAGAAUGGAGUACUCGGAAUGCUUUUAGCUGUAGAAUUUGUAUUAGAGGGAAAUGGAGUUACCAUAAGCACCUCUUGGCUCCCUUAUGUAUGGUAAAUACAUUGGAUUGGAUUUCUUCAUUAUGUUUGUUUGGCUGUGUGCAAAAAUUACUUUUUAAUGAGUUAAGACUUAAUUAAAAUUUAA